rnacentral:rRNA from 1 species
GAACCGACUAAUGUUGAAAAAUUAGCGGAUGACUUGUGGCUGGGGGUGAAAGGCCAAUUAAACCGGGAGAUAGCUGGUUCUCCCCGAAAGCUAUUUAGGUAGCGCCUCGUGAACUCAUCUUCGGGGGUAGAGCACUGUUUCGGCUAGGGGGUCAUCCCGACUUACCAACCCGAUGCAAACUACGAAUACCGAAGAAUGUUAUCACGGGAGACACACGGCGGGUGCUAACGUCCGUCGUGAAGAGGGAAACAACCCAGACCGCCAGCUAAGGUCCCAAAGUCAUGGUUAAGUGGGAAACGAUGUGGGAAGGCACAGACAGCCAGGAUGUUGGCUUAGAAGCAGCCAUCAUUUAAAGAAAGCGUAAUAGCUCACUGGUCGAGUCGGCCUGCGCGGAAGAUGUAACGGGGCUAAACCAUGCACCGAAGCUGCGGCAGCGACACUAUGUGUUGUUGGGUAGGGGAGCGUUCUGUAAGCCUGCGAAGGUGUGCUGUGAGGCAUGCUGGAGGUAUCAGAAGUGCGAAUGCUGACAUAAGUAACGAUAAAGCGGGUGAAAAGCCCGCUCGCCGGAAGAUCAAGGGUUCCUGUCCACCGUUAAUC